rnacentral:rRNA from 1 species
UACGGAGGGUGCAAGCGUUAUCCGGAUUCACUUGGGUUUAAAGGGAAGGCGCAGGCGGGCGUGGUAAGUCAGUGGUGAAGCCUUGAGCUUAACUCGAGAACUGCCAUUGAUACUAUCAGUCUUGAAUAUUGUUGAGGUUUGCGGAAUGGGUCAUGUAGCGGAUGAAAUGCAUAGAUGAUGACCCGGAACACCUAUUGCGAAGGCAGCAGGCUAAACAAAGAUUGACGCUGAGGCUCGAAAGCGUGGGGAUCAAACAGG